AAACCAUGAUGAGGACACUGUCUUUGAAGACUCUUAAAUCUAUCCCAUGCUUCAAAUAAUGAUUCUCCAUACACCUGAGCAAAAUUUGUGAUGCAACUCCUCAUGAAGAUU